CUGAAAAUGAAGGUUUUAUACGUACUCAAAGUAUGGCUUUUACUGAGUGUGCAUUGAUUUUGUACGAUUAUAAAAUCAAAAAUUAAAAGUGAACCAUUGUUAAGUCAGGGAUGUCUGUAUGUGUGUAUGAUCCAGCCACAGAGUGUGCUCUGACUAUAUUGUGGUAACGAUGUGGGGAUGUGUGUAUGUGUGUAUGAUCCAGCCACAGAGUGUGCUUGGACUAUAUUGUAACGAUGUGGGGAUGUGUGUAUGUGUGUAUGAUCCAGCCACAGAGUGUGCUCUGACUAUGUUGUGGUAAUGAUGUGGGGAUGUGUGUAUGUGUGCAUGAUCCAGCCACAGAGUGUGCUCUGACUAUACUGUGGUAACGAUGUGGGGAUGUCUGUAUGUGUGCAUGAUCCAGCCACAGAGUGUGCUCUAUGUUGUGGUAACAAUGUGGGGAUGUGUGUAUGUGUGUAUGAUCCAGCCACAGAGUGUGCUCUGACUAUACUGUGGUAACGAUGUGGGGAUGUGUGUAUGUGUGUAUGACCCAGCCACAGAGUGUGCUCUGACUAUACUGUGGUAACGAUGUGUACAUAUGACCUGUUCUUUCUUCCCAGGUUGGUCCUGCACUUUAGUGGUGGUGGCUUCCUGGCAUUUUAUAAUUGUCAGUUGUCUUGGAGCUCUUCCCCAGUGGUCACACCCACCUGUGACAUCCUGUCUGAGAAGUUCCAUCGAGGACAAGCCUUAGAAGCUCUAGGCCAGGCUCAGCCUGUCUGCUAUACACUGCUGGACCAGAGAUACUUCUCAGGGCUAGGGAACAUCAUUAAGAAUGAAGCCUUGUACAGAGCUGGGAUCCAUCCCCUUUCUCUCGGCUCAGUCCUGAGUGCCUCGCGUCGGGAGGUCCUGGUGGAUCACGUGGUGGAGUUCAGUACAGCCUGGCUGCAGGGCAAGUUCCAAGGCAGACCGCAGCACACACAGGUCUACCAGAAAGAACAGUGCCCUGCUGGCCACCAGGUCAUGAAGGAGGCGUUUGGGCCCGAAGAUGGGUUACAGAGGCUCACCUGGUGGUGCCCGCAGUGCCAGCCCCAGUUGUCAGAGGAGCCAGAGCAGUGCCAGUUCUCCGAAGGAGCUGGUGGUGCUCCUCAUGGAACCUUGCCGCUUGGGGAACCUGACGUCUAAGUGUCCAGAAAGGAGGAUGUGGGCAGGGACGGGGUACAGAGGAUAGUGUGGGCCAGAGGUGCCAGUAGUAUAAUAUUCAUCUCCCUGGAGUUAUGUUGAAGGCAGAGUUUUCAUAGGGUUAGAUUUUUUUUAUCCUUUUCUAGUUCAGUUAAUUCAUCCUAUUGCAUUGCACCGUCGUGAAAGAUGGGAAAAAUCGUGAUAAUGGGUAACGGGAAAACUUCCCGGAAGGCAAUGGGGCAAGGAAAAAGAAAGCCUAUGGGAAAUGGCUGUGCUCCCAACAUGGCUUUGCAGAUGAUGUGGGGUUCUUUUUUUUUUUGGUUUUUGUUU
rnacentral:sRNA from 1 species